rnacentral:rRNA from 1 species
UACGGAGGGUGCGAGCGUUGUCCGGAAUCACUGGGCGUAAAGGGCGCGUAGGCGGCGCGGGCAGUCAACGGUGAAAGCUUGGGGCUCAACCCCGAGUCGGCCGUCGAUACUCCCGGGCUGGAGCACUGUAGAGGCAGGUGGAAUUCCGGGUGUAGCGGUGGAAUGCGUAGAGAUCCGGAAGAACACCGGUGGCGAAGGCGGCCUGCUGGGCAGUAGCUGACGCUGAGGCGCGACAGCGUGGGGAGCGAACAGG